rnacentral:rRNA from 1 species
AAGCUAAUACCGGAUAAUAUUUUGUAACCGCAUGGUUCAAAAGUGAAAGACGGUCUUGCUGUCACUUAUAGAUGGAUCCGCGCUGCAUUAGCUAGUUGGUAAGGUAACGGCUUACCAAGGCAACGAUGCAUAGCCGACCUGAGAGGGUGAUCGGCCACACUGGAACUGAGACACGGUCCAG